rnacentral:rRNA from 1 species
CUACAUAGGGGGCAAGCGUUAUCCGGAAUUAUUGGGCGUAAAGCGUGCGUAGGCGGUUUAUUAAGUCUGAUGUUAAAUCCCACAGCUCAACUGUGGGCUGCCAUUGGAAACUGGUAGACUUGAGUGCGGUAGAGGUAAGUGGAAUUCCAAGUGGAGCGGUGGAAUGCGUAGAUAUUUGGAGGAACACCAGUGGCGAAGGCGGUUUACUGGGCCGUGACUGACGCGGGGGCACGAAAGCGGGGGGAGCAAAAAGGAUUAGAUAGCCUGGUAGUCCCCGCAGGAAACGAUGAGCACUAAGUGUCGGAUGAAUUUUCGGCGCUGCAGUUAACACAAUAUGUGCUCCGCCUGGGGAGUACGGUCGCAAGACUGAAACUUAAAGGAAUUGACGGGG